UGAGGAAUAUUGGUCAAUGGGCGAGAGCCUGAACCAGCCAAGUAGCGUGCAGGAUGACGGCCCUAUGGGUUGUAAACGGCUUUUAUAUGGGAAUAAAGUGAGGGACGUGUCCCUUAUUGCAUGUACCAUACGAAUAAGGACCGGCUAAUUCCGUGCCAGCAGCCGCGGUAAUACGGAAGGUCCAGGCGUUAUCCGGACUUAUUGGGUUUAAAGGGAGCGUAGGCUGUUUGUUAAGCGUGUUGUGAAAUGUAGGAGCUCAACUUUUAGAUUGCAGCGCGAACUGGCAGACUUGAGUGCGCACAACGUAGGCGGAAUUCAUGGUGUAGCGGUGAAAUGCUUAGAUAUCAUGACGAACUCCGAUUGCGAAGGCAGCUUACGGGAGCGCAACUGACGCUAAAGCUCGAAGGUGCGGGUAUCGAACAGG
rnacentral:rRNA from 1 species